AUACGGAAGGUCCGGGCGUUAUCCGGAUUUAUUGGGUUUAAAGGGAGCGCAGGCGGAGAUGCAAGCGUGACGUCAAAUUUCGGGGCUCAACCCCGUCUCGCGUCGCGAACUGCGUCCCUUGGUUGCGGGAAGGGGAGGCGGAACUCGUGGUGUAGCGGUGAAAUGCAUAGAUAUCACGAAGAACGCCGAUCGCGAAGGCCGCCUUCCGGCCCGUCAACGACGCUCAUACUCGAAGGUGCGGGUAUCAAACAGGAUUAGAUACCCUGGUAGUCCACGCCAUAAACGAUGAAUACUAGGUGUAGGGGGUAUCGACCCCCUCUGUGCCGACGUUAACACAUUAAGUAUUCCACCUGGGGAGUACGGCCGCAAGGCUGAAACUCAAAUGAAUUGACGGGG
rnacentral:rRNA from 1 species